rnacentral:rRNA from 1 species
AUGGUGCGGGUGGCGACCUUCUUCGGGAUGACCUUCGGCGCGUUCCUCUUCUGGGAGUCCAUGGACAAGGUCCACGUCUGGAUCGCCCUCCACCAGGACGAGAAGUUUUUCUACGUUACCGAUGAUCUGCUCAGGGAUUACAAUUUACAUCUCGAUCUUUUGAAAAAAGAAAGAAAUGGAGAUAGAAAUGAUUCUUAA